UAAGUCUCACAAGAUCUGAUGAGUUUAUCAGAGGUUUCCACUUUUGCUUCUUCCUCAUUCUGUCUUGCCGCCACAAUGUAAGAAUUGUCUCUCACCCUCUGCCAUGUAAGAAUUCUCUUUCACCCUCUGCCGUGAUCGUGAGACCUUCCCCAGCCAUGUGAAACUUUUUCAGCUUUCCUCCACUGUUUUGGGAAACGUCACCUUCUUAUCUUGGAAGAGUAAUCUCAAAAUUGAAGCAUCUUAGAUCCAACAAGAAUUAAAAGGAUGGGAAGUCCUUGCAGCCAUCCAAUAGAGUCAGAAGACUUUGGAUUUUGGAGUCUGUGAGAUUAUCUUACAGAGCAAGACUGCAGAUCAAGAUUUUCCAACGUGGUGCUGACUUUUUUGAGAACAGUUAAUGAGAACUAGGAAAGUCCUUGCAGACCAUCCAGUCCAGCGGCUUUCAAAUGGAAAAUGUGAAAGGACAACAGAAUCACAUGGAUUCUUUUCUGAACUGCUUUUUUCCAGUGAUGCCAUAUUCUAUAAGACUUCAUGUGAAGGUGUGGAGGACGGGAUGUACUCACAUCCCAACAAAUUGAAAAUGCUGACCAAUCCCAGCACAGCCAACUCGAAUUUGCUCCUUCAUCAAAGUGACCAGCACCUCAUUUCUUCCUCUUUAGAAUUUAUAGGCAGAUCACUGAAGCAUCACUCCUGAAUGUUCCUCUGUACCCUCAAUGUGCAUUUGCACUACCAGUGAUCUCAAGAAUUCUAGAAAAUGAAAACUGGAUUACCAUCACCAACGUCUAGGAACUGUGAGUCCUAUGGCUAUUGAUAUCUAACAUCCUGGCUUCACUCACAUGGAUGAGCCCCACCUGGAAUGCCUAGAAGACGUGGGACAGCUGGAUCUCUCUCCACACGGUUUUUCAUUGUUGCCUCAGGUUCCAAUAAAAGCAAAAGCUGCAAGGUCUUCUGAGGCAAAGACUUAGAAAUACCACAAUGUUACUUCUGCUGCAUUCUGUUGAUAAAAGAAUCCCACAAUGCCAGCUUCAUUUAAAGGGGUAAAGAUAUAGAUUAUUCACCUUCGAUGGGAGGAACUGCAAAUGAUGUAAUUAGUGAUAAUUUUUAAUAUACUGUAAUGUAUUGACUUAUCUUUAAAAAAUGAAAAAAUAAACCAAAAACUAAAAGCAAAACAAAACUAUAAUAGAAAACAAUUGCUUCUGGAGGAGGAAUGCAAUGGGGAAAAGGUUAUAGAAACAAAAGCUACAUUUUAUUUGAAUAUACCUGUUUUAGGUUUGACCCUGGUAACAUUUGAUAUUUUACAUAAUUAUAUCAUUAUUUAAAAUUAAAUUUUAAAACACCAAUACCCAUAACAGAAAAGUUUGAUAAAAGAGGUGAAAUAUAAAUAUAAAUAUAUUAAGUUUGCAUUAUAAUCACACAGAGAUGAAUUGUGUCAGUUACUCAAACACAGAUAUUUGACUAUACAACCUUUAUAAGAUAUCCUAAGGACAAAAAAACAUGCAAAAAUAUAUAUUGAACUGUUUUAAAAUUAUAUUUUUUUGCAAUUGAAUUGUUAUUGUGAGACAGGUGUGUACAUAUUUUAAGAUCAAGCAAGUUAGUAAGCUUGUUGACAUUAUUGUAAAUGGGAUUUGUCCCAUGGGGUAAAGAAGAUAUAAUAGCAAGUAGAAGAAAAUAAAUGAAAACCCAUUAAUAUGAGUUUGAAGUUAAAGUAUCAGUAUGAAGUCAUGAAGCAUUUUCCCAACAAAAAGAAAAAAAUAGUUUCCUAGUUCUAAUCACUUAAAAGUAUAUAGAAACAACAUAAAACUCAAUAUCAAGAGGAAAUGUAACUCAGAUGUGCUCUGUAGACAUUUCCCCUAAAAGGAGUUGAAGUUCAUUGCAAACAAGUAUCUAAUUCCAGCUUGGGGUUUGAAUAUUGUACAAGAUGGGCCUGGAAUAUCAAAUUCUCUUACUAAAAAGCAAGGCAGAUUUGAAAGACUAUUAGGAUGCAUCAAAGAGACUCAGAGGAGUCACCCUGAAGAGGUUACCAUUGGCCAAAGGUAAAAAUUUGAGAAUCAAUAAGAAAAUCAAAGGCAGUAGAUUAAAAUGCCUCAAAUAUGCUUAAAUCUAUCUGUUCCUAAUAAUGUUAAUUUAAAAAUAAUGUUGUCAUUGGACAGCUUUGAAGAAUGUUAGGGAUCCAUAAGAAUGUACAGUUUUGAAUUAAAGAGAAGAAUUGAGCAUUUAUCCUGUUUUUCCUUUAUGGAUUAUGUCUAAGGAUAACCAAAUGUUGAUGACAGAAAAUCCUUUUUAAAGAUACCUUUAGCCAAAGAAUGAAGAAAGAAUGAUAGAAUUGAAAUGUUACCAUUUUUGCAACCCCUAAUGAAAUAAUGAAUCUAGCCAGUUGUUAUCAAUUGUUGCUAACAUAAAAAAUGAGAGACAAACAGACACGCCUCUUCAUAGAAGUAUAUGAUACCACCUAUAAAAUAUUACUGCCAGAAAAAAAAAUCAAACUUUGGAUCUAAUUACCAAUUAGAUCAGCCUUUAGCUCUAACAACCAAUUUGCAAUAUUUACAGGAGAUACAGGAGCAUGUUGAAUGACACCAUAAAAAGGCAAUCAGUAAAAUUUAGUUUAUUAUAAACUAUAUAGGAUAAGUGAUCCAGUUGCUGCAAUAAAUAUAUUACAGAAGGUGUGUAUUGGCGGGUGGGAGAUAAAGGAGCAAUCUAUAGAUAAAAACAGACUUAAGGGACAUAAAAACAACUUUAAUGUAUGGAUCUUAUUUGGAUCCUUAAGAAAACAAAUUGUAAAGUAGCAUGAGACAUUUGAAGAAAAUAGAAAUAGUUUUUAAGUGUGGUAAUGAUAUCGUGGUUAUACGUUGUUAAAGAAUGCCUUUAGAGGUAAAUACAGAAAUAUUUGCAGAUGAACUAAAAUGAUGUCUAGAAUUUACAUAAAAGUAAUCCUGUAGGGAGAGUGAAGAAGUGGAAAGAGUGGAUAUUGAUAGGCAAGAGUAGCUAUAAUUUGACCACUGCUGAAUGUUGUUGAUGGAUAAAUGAAAAUGUAUUAUAUAUUUUUUUACUUAUAUAUUUGAAGAUUUUGAUUUUUAAUAAAGUGAAGCUGAGAAAGGGAAAAUCAUUUUUCUUGAUGUCAGGCUUUGAACAGAGAUAAAAGUAAAACCACUGUAGACCAAAGUGGAAAAAUAAAAAGCAAACAUAAACUUUUAUGCUUUCAGCUCUCUAUUACUGGCUUGUAUUUUUUUUUUAAUCUUUAUUUUAAGUUCCAGGGUACAUGUGCAGGAU
rnacentral:lncRNA from 1 species